CAACCUGAACUCAGUCGUGAUUACCCGCUGAACUUAAGCAUAUCAUUUAGCGGAGGAAAAGAAACUAAAAAGGAUUCCCCUAGUAACGGCGAGUGAAACGGGAAGAGCCCAGCGCCGAAUCGAUCAGUCUUUGGCUGCUUCGAAAUGUGGCGUAUAGGUGUAGUCUUCCAGCAGUGUCGUAUGUCCGAAGUCCUUGCGAUUGAGGCCAUAAACCAGAGAGGGUGCGAGCCCCGUUCUGGAUAGCGGCGCUGUUGGUUCGACUGCUCCUUGGAGUCGGGUUGCUUGAAAGUGCAGCCUAAAGUGGGUGAUAAACUUCAUCUAAUGCUAAAUAUUGACUCGAUUGCGAUAGCGAACAAGUACCGUGAGGGAAAGUUGCAAAGGACUUUGAAGAGAGAGUUCAAGAGAACGUGAAAUCGCUGGAGUGGAACCGGAGACAGUUGAUGUUGCUUGGAGACAAUCUUGGUGGCUGAUCGCUUAGCUGUGAUCGCCGCCGGGAGUCGUUCCUAUGCUACGCCGACGGCGUUGGCCGCUCGUUCUGGCCCGACAGUGUUGCCCAUCUCGCAAGAGACGGUGUCUUGUUGUCGGUCGUUGGUUCGUGGUGGCUAGCGUUUAGUUACGCUAGUGUGUGUGACGUCGGUGUGAAAGUCGACGACGUUUCCGACCCGUCUUGAAACACGGAUUACGGAGUGUUUGUCUGCUGCGAGUCAAAGGGUGUAAAAACCUUGCGGCGCAAUGAAAGUGAAGGUUAGUCUCGAACUGACCGACGUGGGAUCCGUGCUCUUCGGAGUGCGGCGCACCACGGCCCUAUGCGUGUCACUUGUGACUGUGUAGAGGUUGAGCAGUAGGCAAGCGACCCGAAAGAUGGUGAACUAUGCCUGAGCAGGAUGAAGCCAGAGGAAACUCUGGUGGAAGUCCGUAUCGGUUCUGACGUGCAAAUCGAUCGAUAGACUUGGGUAUAGGGG
rnacentral:ncRNA from 1 species